rnacentral:rRNA from 1 species
GACGAACGCUGGCGGCGUGCUUAACACAUGCAAGUCGAACGGAAAGGCCCUGCUUUUGUGGGGUGCUCGAGUGGCGAACGGGUGAGUAACACGUGAGUAACCUGCCCUUGACUUUGGGAUAACUUCAGGAAACUGGGGCUAAUACCGGAUAGGAGCUCCUGCUGCAUGGUGGGGGUUGGAAAGUUUCGGCGGUUGGGGAUGGACUCGCGGCUUAUCAGCUUGUUGGUGGGGUAGUGGCUUACCAAGGCUUUGACGGGUAGCCGGCCUGAGAGGGUGACCGGCCACAUUGGGACUGAGAUACGGCCCAGACUCCUACGGAAGGCAGCAGUGGGGAAUAUUGCACAAUGGGCGGGAGCCUGAUGCAGCAACGCCGCGUGCGGGAUGACGGCCUUCGGGUUGUAAACCGCUUUCGCCUGUGACGAAGCGUGAGUGACGGUAAUGGGUAAAGAAGCACCGGCUAACUACGUG